rnacentral:rRNA from 1 species
UACGGUAGGGUGCAAGCGUUGUCCGGAAUUAUUGGGCGUAAAGAGCUCGUAGGCGGUUUGUCGCGUCGGCUGUGAAAGCCCGGAGCUCAACUCCGGGUCUGCAGUCGAUACGGGCAGACUUGAGUGUUGCAGGGGAGACUGGAAUUCCUGGUGUAGCGGUGAAAUGCGCAGAUAUCAGGAGGAACACCGGUGGCGAAGGCGGGUCUCUGGGCAGUAACUGACGCUGAGGAGCGAAAGCGUGGGGAGCGAACAGG